CUUGUUCACAACCUGGAUUAGGAGCACUCCUUUCAUUACACUGCAAAUAAAAACUUGGUGUUAUUUUGCUCUCCUGAAAGACAUUAAUCCAUUAAUCUGAGCUACUUAGUGGCAUUAGAAGUGGAAAAGCAGCUCAGUUCUCCUUGGAAUUUACUGCAAUGUUUGGCUUUUUAAAUCUCUUCCUCUCAGCCCAUGGCAACGCUCAACUCCUCCAACCAGCCAGAGAGAGGAGAGAUGGGGAACGGGACACUGGUCACAUACCCACCGAGGCUGGGAUCAGCCUUGGCUGGAGAUGAUGCCAAAACCCAGCAUUUCUCCUCCUCUUCAGAGAUGGAGAGCAGAAGCCUCCCUCCCUUGUCCUCCCCUCUGAAGGCACAAAGCCACCUCUGAAACACGACCUGCUCUGAACAUCACCCAGCUUGUGUGCUCAGCAGUUUGGGGCAGUGUGGGUGGCUGGAAGAGGCAUACAGGUUCAACAGAAGGUGAGCUGAGAGAUAAGCCAAGCUCUGAACUGGACUAAAAACAUGACAUGAAAACCGGUCAUUACUUCCUGGGUCACUGACUUUCAUCUGCCAUGGAUUAGUCCUAAACUUAUUUUUCUAUCAACUUCCUCAAGGAAAGUUUGGUUGUUGUUGUGGGGUGUUUUUUUUUUUUUCUUUUAAAUAUUACUUUAUUGUUUUAAAGGACAAAAAGCUCACCUGGCAGUGGCUAUAAGAUCCCAACUCAAAACCAGACACAAGACUCUACCUCUAUUAUUUCAUUCAAGCUUUUCCAGAGACUACUCUCACCCUUAGGAGACACACACAGGGCAAUGACUAAGGGUUAAUUUUAGUGAGAACAGGGAGCCCUGCAGCAAUCCUCUUCUGUGGAUAAACGAUAUUAUGUGGUUUCCUAACACAGUGAGUCCAGUAAAUUCAGACGUCAAGGAAAUGACAAAGCAUGCAAAAGAGAAUCCUGGGAAAACAGACACCACUGUGACGAAUGCCUGAAUGGGAAAGCACCCGUUCAACGACAUGUACUUGAAACAUCUCUGAAUCAAGAGAGGCAAGAACCAACGCAGGCAUGUGUAGCAAUGGUGUGAACUUGUCUGUUCAUGCUGGUGCAGGCUGCUUAUUGCAAAACAACCUGCUCCUGAAGGUCAGAGCAGGAGUCAGGCAAGGGUGAAAUGAUAUAGAAAUGUUCCUGAGAUAAAUCAGAGGGUGUCUCUCGAAACGCCCCAUGUCACCACAUGAACUGCGAUGCACUUACUGGUCAACCCAACAUCAAUAAGAGCAACAUCCUAGGAGACAAAUGCAUCCCUAAUGUGUACAGUAGCACCCAGCGUGUUCAGUGGGAACCCGAUGUUCCCUCCAACAACAGCAGUUCUGUCAACAGGAAGUGAAUUGCUCAUUCUGGUGUUCUGAAAGAAGACCUAAGGCUUCUUCAUCACACAUCAGUGCAAACCACAUCUUCUGCCACAAUGCUAUGACCGCUAACAUCAAACAUCACCCAAACGGCCAAACUUUCUCACCGCUGUAAUCUCCUCUUAUCCCAUCCAUGCCUCAGGAUGUUAUUAACUCUGUACCAUUCUUAUGGGGUAACCACUGCAAAAUUAGUGUUUUCCCUUCACUUGUACCUUUUUGCCAACUGCUGCAGAGGAUUUUUCCUGAGCCCCAGGCUGCUGCUUUGGAACUGAUGGCGCUUUAGCUGAGAUCUGCUCAUCGCUGUGAAACAACAGCAUUUCUCUUCCAAGAUGCCCAGCAAGAAAAGUUGGCUUGUAAAGCCUUCAUUGUCUACUGGAGCAAAUGGAGCAAUCAGAUGCUGACCCACUAUGAAAGGAAGCAGUCAGCGGUUGCUCUUCACAACACAUACAGAAAUACAGAUAUUUAAAACCAAAUCUUAAGUUUUUCCAAAGUUAAUUCAGCUGCCAGAAAAGAUCUUGUCAUGCAGCAUACCAGUAACCUUUUCAGUUUCCUUUCCCUUAGCCUUUUGUAAACCAGCUC
rnacentral:lncRNA from 1 species